UCCUGUGUAAUAUCAGUGAGAUAAAUAAGGGCUCUGUUGAUUCCUAAUCUGAGGGCCGCAGGUUCGAGUCCUGCCGGGCGCACCA
rnacentral:tRNA from 1 species